rnacentral:rRNA from 1 species
AGUGAACGCUGGCGGUAGGCCUAACACAUGCAAGUCGAACGGCAGCACAGGAGAGCUUGCUCUCUGGGUGGCGAGUGGCGGACGGGUGAGGAAUACAUCGGAAUCUACUCUGUCGUGGGGGAUAACGUAGGGAAACUUACGCUAAUACCGCAUACGACCUACGGGUGAAAGCAGGGGACCUUCGGGCCUUGCGCGAUUGAAUGAGCCGAUGUCGGAUUAGCUAGUUGGCGGGGUAAAGGCCCGCCAAGGCGACGCUCCGUAGCUGGUCUGAGGGGAUGAUCGGCCACACUGGAACUGAGACGCGGUCCAGACUCCUACGGGAGGCAGCAGUGGGGAAUAUUGGACAAGGGGCGCAAGCCUGAUCCAGCCGUACCGCGUGGGUGGAGAAGGCCUUCGGGUUGUAAAGCCCUUUUGUUGGGAAAGAAAUCCAGCUGGCUAAUACCCGGUUGGGAUGACGGUACCCAAAGAAUAAGCACCGGCUAACUUCGUGCCAGCAGCCGCCGUAA